GAUGAACGCUGGCGGCGUGCCUAAUACAUGCAAGUCGAGCGAACAGACGAGGAGCUUGCUCCUCUGACGUUAGCGGCGGACGGGUGAGUAACACGUGGAUAACCUACCUAUAAGACUGGGAUAACUUCGGGAAACCGGAGCUAAUACCGGAUAAUAUAUUGAACCGCAUGGUUCAAUAGUGAAAGACGGUUUUGCUGUCACUUAUAGAUGGAUCCCCGCCGCAUUAGCUAGUUGGUAAGGUAACGGCUUACCAAGGCAACGAUGCGUAGCCGACCUGAGAGGGUGAUCGGCCACACUGGAACUGAGACACGGUCCAGACUCCUACGGAAGGCGGCAGUAGGGAAUCUUCCGCAAUGGGCGAAAGCCUGACGGAGCAACGCCGCGUGAGUGAUGAAGGUCUUCGGAUCGUAAAACUCUGUUAUUAGGGAAGAACAAAUGUGUAAGUAACUAUGCACGUCUUGACGGUACCUAAUCAGAAAGCCACGGCUAACUACGUG
rnacentral:rRNA from 1 species